ACACUUUUUCUCCAUUUUUAUAACACCCGUUUGGGAGAUAGGUUUGGAUGGUUGCUAUUUAUAAGUUAGUCUAACCUUAAACUCCUUGAACCCUACACUAAUUCGUUCAAAGGAUUCAAAGGGGGUUUCUUGAAUGUCUUACCCAACCAAACCAAGAAAGCACAUUUCCUUACCCUGGAGGUAAUUAUAUAUAAAAAUUUCCAUUCUAUUGGAUAUAGGUCCCCCAAAAAAAUACAAUGAUUGAACGAUAGAGUUGAUCAAAAAGGUGGUCAAACACUUGUUGGUUGUAAAGCAACUCCUCGUCUACUAUUGACUAAAACAUUGUGUCUAUAACACUUUCCCUUACUCCUCGGGCUGAUGUGGAUUGCAAGUUUUUGUUUCUUUUUCUUUUCAACUUGUCUGCUUGUAUUCUAAUAGCCUCAUUUCUUUUCCAUAUUUUUGUAAGUUUGAUGGUUCCGUAAGAGUUUCAUAAUCUUCAUGUGGAGAUGGUAAAGAAGGAUAGAAAAGCUUGAGAAGAUGUUGCCACCGUUGGGAACCCUGUUGGAGGAAUGCAUUACAAUCAGAACUACAACAUGUUCCUCUCGUUUGUCCACACCAAAAGAAACAACACAAAAGUCAUCGAGAAAAGGUCAGAAGGUCGUUAGGCAUGCCCUCAACAUACUAGGCCGGUGAAGCUGACACCUUCACCAACAUUUCUGAUCCUCCAACUCCAAACAACCUCCUUACUCCGAUAAUUUAUGGGGAGGGUUUUUUUGGCCAAGGUUUUAAUCCUUUGGUCCUAUCAUUUUACAAUAAAGAUCUCUGUAUACAAGGGGUUCUUGAAGCUAGUUUGGCUUCCUUUUGUGAGCUUUAUUCUCGUGCUUGGGUGAUUCCCUAGUUUUUAGGGUUCAAAUUGACUAAGGUAGAAAGUUGAGGAGAGGAGAUCAAGAAUUAAAAGGACCUUGAGUUGUCUUCGACAUCUCUACGGGAAGCUUUGCAAGUGAAUGAAGGGCUUGCCGAUGACAUUGUUAACCUUCAAAGCAAAGUUAUGUCUUAAAGAAAAAGAAGCCAAAUUUAAUGAUCAAUGUCCAGCUGCUGAAGAGGCUAACCACAAGCUUUCAUGAGAGAUGACUGUGCUAAAGGAUUCUUUGGCUCAAGUUAACAAAGAAUGAGAUGAAGGAAGGACCAGAAGACUUGGUGCUAAGAACCUGGUUGAAGGGGCAAAGGUUCUGGUUUAUACUGAACAUGUGGUUAGGUUUGACAAGGUUGUCUUCCCGGCCAUGCUUCUUUGCAACUUGAGUGAUAUGUCAAGUUUUGACAUUGACAAGGAUGUUUACCAAGGGAAGUUGGUGGAUGUGGAUUCAAUUUCUUGGCCUACAGUUGAUGAGGAAACUUUGAGAACCCAUUCCGGCAAUGCUGCUGUUGAAACUGCACUUGGAAGGUGCGAAGCUUGAUGGUGCCAAUUUGCUCGGGGCAAUCAGAUAAUACUUGUGCUGACGAUGAAAAAAUUGGGAAGUGACUAUAUGGUUAUAGAAUGUCAAUACUUAGAAUGUCAAUACUAGACAAGUGAACCUGGGAAGUUAUAAAUUAUCCUUUGUUUGACAGUAAUUAAUAGUGCUGCUCUUGAAGUUGCUCAACGGGCAUUGAUUUGUGCUUGUGCUGAUGAUCUUCUCCAACUUGCUGCUGAUGUUGUGAGAGAAGCCGUUAAGGCUGUUCUUGUUCAUAUUUUGUAUUGAUUGGGUGGUUUGUUGCUUUUCUAAUGUAUCUAGCAAAUUAAAAUUUGAAUGUUACUAUUUAUAUUAUUUUAAUAAUCUUGUGUAGAGCACAUGGUUGAUAAAACCUCGUAAUAAUGAGUGUGAUUAGCAUGGUC